CAGAUCUGUUUGUUGAGAUAUCGGGAUAUCCUACAUGUUAAUAGUCUUCCAAGUAGUGAAAAGUGAAGUGACAGUCCCUUGCUGAGUGAAAGGUCUAAUCUGUUGAAGGGAACUGAUGUUGAUGUGAAAUCACUAGAAGAGAAUAAAAAAAGAAUCGACCUACAAACGACCAUGGCAAAAUGAAGUUCUAAACAUUUCCCAAGUGAUUACUUUUUACCGUGUAAGUUUUAUUUCCCAGAAAGCAUAAAGCUGAAUAGUCUUGCCAAACCAGCUGAAGCUUAAUGAACAAACUCUAUUGGCCCUUUAAUAAUAAUAUUUGAACCAUUUAUCUCUUCAGUUCUAAAAAUGCAUAUAAGUUGGCAGAGAUUUGACUUAAGAGUUUUAAGUCCUAUAUAUAGCUUUUGGGUGACUUGAUCUCUUUUUCUAGACAUCUAUCUGCCUCAGGGCUUUGGUCUAAUUACUUUUAGUAAAUAAACUAUUUUCAUAUAAAUGGUUUAAAGAAGAGCAAUAUUACUAGGAUUAUGAAGACCAAGAGUAUAAUGUUACAGUCUAAAAACCCAAGGUUUUACUGUGAUACUAAAUGUUUAACUGAAUUGCUGUCUCCCCAAUUGUACCUGUGUUGGAUGUUGCCACUUUUCUAUUGCUGGAAAGGGCCUUUUACAAAAGCAUGUUCAACGUGAAUACUAAUCCUUAUAGCAAGUCCUUCAGGUUAAUGCCAAUAGUGUGCAUGAGGACAAAAUCGUAUUUAUACCAUGUAAUACUCCAGAGGGAUUAGGUACUGAGCAGCAGCUGUAGAGAAAAAGAUGAUAGGUCUGACAAGGCAGAACAGGCUAGAGAGUCUGAUUUCUCAAAGUGGAGAUCAGAGAGUAGAACUAGCACUAGGAAGUAUUAGGAGAUUUCAGCUUAGAGCAGUUUCAGUCCAAACCCAGUGGGUAUGCUUAAAGAGCCAACCAGGAAAAAAAAACGAAAACAAAACCAAAAAAUCUUUGCUUCCUUAUAUGGACUUAGGGAGGUAUUCUGGGAGAAAAGCAUGUUGAAACUCCUUCAGGAAGGAAGAGGACUUCUGAUUCAAGAGUCAUUCUGUUUCUGUGCCUUUGCCACCAGUUUUCACACAACUGCUUUCUCUGAUACUACACUGUCAGAGACACCCAACUGAUAGUUGGCUUUUUCUUUUACUGAAUAAAUACAACUUUCUCCCCGACCAUAAGAAAGAAGAAAACUAUGAGAUAGAGGAUCUGUUUCCAUGGCUUAAAAAAAAAAAAAAAAAAAAAAAAAAAAGGUAGUAUUUCCCACGGUGUUCAGUUGAUGAUGGUGAAAGGAGGAGAAGGAGGAUGACAAUGAGAAAGGCAUUUUGAAGUUUAGUGGCUGUUAGGGGAAGGAAGUUGGGGAUAGUGGAAAGAAUACUAAGCCAAGUAUCGUAACUUGAUUUUUAGGUCUGGGUUCCCUACUUUAGCCAAACGUAAGACUCUGAAUUCCUAUUGGUUUUAGUUUCUCUAUCAAUAGGAAGUAGACUAUAUGAUCUCUUGCCCUUCUACCUCUAAAAUUCUGUAAUUAUGACAGGAAGUAUCUACACUAGCGCCUGAGCAGUAUCGAGAAUAUGAAAAACAGUAUAUAGAGCGAGGUGUCCUUUUAUAAUUAAGUUUAUGCCUAGUUAUAAUUGGUUUAUGGAACAAAGUUUUUUCCCAGACCCACUGUACCUCAGAAAGGAUUGAACGUUCAUUCUGGCAAAGAAAAGGCAAAACUGUUAGCACAUCAUACUGCCACAUGAAGGCUAACAAUUAGACAUAAAGCCAGACAAAAUCGCAAGGAGAGCCAUAAAUAAAAGAGAGUCUUAAUGUGAUUUAAAUACCGUGACUGAGUUGCAUUCAGUGUUAGCCUGGUCACCAAGUCCAAUGCGACAUUAUCCUCUAUAGAGAUGUAUUCUAGCAAAAGACUUCUGCAUCCGCCAUCUGGCCCUUGACUCAGGGAGCACAUCUCACUGAAUGACACAUAACCCAGUGGGAUGCACCAAAUUUGCUUAAACAUGAGCACAUCCUCUUCUCAUAACAAAGGCUGGAUAUGACCCUAAUUUUAUAUUCUAUAAACUGUGUUUGAGGAAAUUAUUAAAACAACAGUCUUCUGGGGAGGCCUAUAACCAUCUACGGAUCAUGUUUUCUUUGUCACAGCCACAGUUUCAAGAAAUACUGUACAUUUCAGCUUAAAUUGAGAAGCAAAUUAGAUGUGCUUUAAAUUUAAAAAUUCAUUAUGAAUUUAGAAGUAAAAAAGUGAACUGUUUGUGACUAGAUGAUCUGACCUUACAAACACAAGAAUUUGAGCAGAGUUCCAAAAGUUAGAGUUUGUGUUCUCUGCGAACAGCCUUCAGGGAAUUGUGCCAGAGGAGCUCUACUUAAGAGAAAUUUCUCUGAGGUUCUGAUUUUUUUUUUAGUUUAUACCUUAAACUGUGAUUUCAGACGUGUUCCAGGAUAAAGGCAAUCACAUCCAGUAUUUCCUGUCUCUAAGAUAGAGUCUACUGCACUGCUUUUAUUUUAUAUUACUUGAGAAUUAUUUUCCUUUAGAAGGAACAGUAUGAUUUGCCUAAAUGGAGAGUAUUUUUUUUUUCUUUUUAAGUAUAUCUUUGGCAUUCCUCAGAGUGUUAAAUAUUUUAUUGGCUAUUGGGAGGAAGGGAUUCUCUAUUAUGUAAAUGGCACCCCAAAUCUACAGAUCCCAAGUUAAUACUGAAGACUUUUUGUUAGUCUCUGGUGCCCUUUCUGGUAAAGAUAAAUGCUAAAGAAGGGGCAGUAUGUGGAAAUAGGAAUAAAACUAAAAUGACCAUUUUUCUUCCAAGUUAUAUAACACUAUAAUGCUUUGUUGCAGUAAUAUGAGGAAACCUUAUGCAAGAACUGAGCUGUGAUUAAUAGAAGCAAAAAGCAGUAGAAACAUCAUUCCUUAAACACAACAAACUCAAAUAGGAAGGAAAAUAGUCUUUUAAAUGAGAAGCAAAGAGUUGUAUGGAAGUGUUGAAUCAUUAUAUUGUACACCUGAAACUAAUAUUACACUGUCUAUUAACUAACUGGAACUUAAGUAAAAACUUUUUGAAAGUCCAAAGUGAUAUGAGAAGGAAAUAUUAAUGCUAAUGCCAAUAUCAUGUGAACUGUUAAUUAGAAAGUAAAGUGAAAAUGGAGCAUGUGACUAAUAAAGUAAAUACCAUGAAAUUCUGGGGAAAGCCUUGUUAAGCUGGACUUCUUCAGGGCUACAGCACUGAGGGGAUUUUCUCAUGUUUCACGAAUUGACCCAAAUUACUAUGGAGUCAAAUGAUAGUGGAGUCACUAUCGUGAAGGGUAGUGAAAUGAAUGAAGACUGAAAGAGAGCCUCAUAAUGCUGACGUUGUCAGAUGUCCAGCCACGUGGACUUGCGAACCUGGCAAAUUGCUGAAAUU